rnacentral:tRNA from 1 species
UCCCGUGUGGCUCAGUUGGUAGAGCAUGGUAUUUGCAACGCCAGGGUUGUGGGUUCGAUUCCCAUGGGAG